UUUGUUUGUUUCAUUAUAAUAUAUACUAAAUUGCCCAGAGGGAGAAAGGUAUAAUGCUAUCAUAUAUAACGUACCAGAAUACAUGUGAAUUAAGGGGGAUGCUGGGUUACAAGAACAGCUUCUUCAACUCUACUAGAUCUGAAUCUGGUGAGAAGGAUGAAGAUGAUGGUGAUGAUGAUGAUGACUAUGAAGACAUCGGGAUUGGUAUUUGAUCACUGAAUCAAUUUUUUAAAAGCAUAUAGCUCAAUAUAUAUUUAUUACUUCUUCUGGCCUCAGUUUUAGUAAUAUAUAUUAUUCUUGUAAUUUGUCCAUUUUAUCUAAGUUUUCAAAUCUGGUUUAGGAAGCAACUGAGUCUAACCUAUGUGGGAAAGAAAUUUAUAUAAGGAGACAAGUGUCUCAUGGAACUUGAGGGCACAGAUGUGGCCAAACCCCAGGAAGGACCUGGAACUAGCACCUGAAAAGCAUUCAGGGUGGAUUCCCACUUCUGUCCUGUGCUCCUUGGUUUUGUGUCUCUUUCCUUGCAGGAUGGCUGUCCAUCUCCAUACCCUGGCCCCUGGCUUUCUCUAAGAAACAAAUUCACAUGGCAGAAUUUCACCAAAACACUGAGAUAGGUUGGCGUUUCCUUGUCCAAAUCAGCAUUCCCAGGAAGAAGAGCCUGACCCAUGUUGGGUGUGAGUCCGUCUGAGACGGGGCAUGAACCACAGGCACUGUGGCUGUUCUUCCAUAGUGGUGUUUCCCACAGAAGAGAUAUCAAGGUCUUGUCUAACAUUGAAAAGAAUAACAUAUCUGAUGUAGGUGAAAAUUUUCAAACAUUUAAAAUUAGUCUCUUUGCAACCAUAGAGAUUUAAAGAGUUCACUUUCUUCAUACCCACCGAGAAGUGUGUCGGUGAUUGAAGGUGUCCUGGAAGAAAGAGACACAGCACAGUGUGGGCGGGCGCUGUGGAAGGUGCACGUGGCUGACGUCUCGGCCCCCCAGGAUAACACCUCGCGAUGGGCUCACACUGGAAGUCCCACCCUCACAGCUGUCGUGUAUGAGAAGCUGUGGGUCAGGGUGUGGGAUGGCAUUUAGCGGGCUUGUUGGUAACUGUCUUUGAAAGAGUCCCAUUCGUAAUCCAUUUGAUGAUUUGAUAUAAUAUUAUGUACCAGCAGAAGUGAUAUUUCCGAGGAUUGAUAUUCCAAUUCAUUGUAAUCCAAAUGUUUAUACUCUGUGUUCUGAACUAAGCGGAUGACAAGAUCUCAGUCAUUUCUAUGAAAAAUGUUAUAUUCAAAGAAUGGACUAAUUUUGCAAAUAUUAUUCUACUACCAGCACUUAGUACAAAAAAGUUUCUAAUUCGAAGGCAAUUCUCUGAGUGCAAAUUAAGAGUGCUGAUGCUUCGUGGAGGACAUCAAGGGAACUGAAACGUCACCCUCUGAUUAAACCUUUCUAGCAAGACCACAUUGUUUUAGGCUUUUCGUAUGAUUUGUAAUUUUUUCAAAUUUGGAUUAUCUGUGGAAUAAAAAGAAACUGUUAUUUUUUCUGA